GUAAUUUUGCAAGGUUUUGCUGUCCCAGGCACUUAACGCGCGAAGCGUUGAAGCCAGCCGGUGGUUCUCCACCAGUUGUAGAGGUGGAAAAACAAAGCCCUUGAUUCUUUAGCGCUUAGCCAACGUGUGCGAUGAGUGAAGAAGUGGCGGUGGGCGGUGGGGUGCUUAACACUUUCUAUCCCACUCCCAACUGUGGCUCUGAAUUAAUCUGAGUCAAUUAAAAUUCCUGAGAGCUAGAGAGAGAAGGAAUGUUCAGGAGACCUGGAGAAUGCGGAAAGAGCCAGAAUAGAACCACGUGAGAGUGGGGAUUUGGAAUGAGGGUUAGCAGGAAUGGACAGUGACUUCUCUUUGCACAUUGACACAGACGAGAAAGAGACCUUGCCAACCUCUCAGAAGUAAAACAAGAGACCAAGCUUUGCCUCUCUGUUGCCGGCCUCUUCCUUGGAUCCUGGUAGCCAGGACUUGGGAAAUGAAAACACCAUAUUAAGUGUCUGGGACCAUAUAAAUCCCAGAACAGGACACUCUUGUGGGCAAGACUAUAUUUGGAGUCAGGCGAUGGAUCUUUUGUUAAACCAUUAUGAUUUUGCCUGUCAUUCUACCAUUUACAAAAGCCAGGUGUCACAUUCACCAUUUUAUUUGCUAAAAAAACCACAGUGGCAAUGUGGCCUUCAGGUUGUGAAUUAAUUCUGGAAAUCAUGAUGGAUGGGCCACUGCUGUUC